rnacentral:rRNA from 1 species
GAUCCUGGCUCAGGAUGAACGCUGGCGGCGUGCUUAACACAUGCAAGUCGAACGAAGCACUUUAUUACAAUUUCUUCGGAAUGACGAUUUAGUGACUGAGUGGCGGACGGGUGAGUAACGCGUGGGUAACCUGCCUUAUACAGGGGGAUAACAGUUAGAGAUGACUGCUAAUACCGCAUAAGCGCACAGGAUUGCAUGAUCUGGUGUGAAAAACUCCGGUGGUAUAAUAUGGACCCG